AUUGAACGCUGGCGGCAGGCCUAACACAUGCCAGUCGAGCGGAUGAAGGGAGCUUGCUCCUGGAUUCAGCGGCGGACGGGUGAGUAAUGCCUAGGAAUCUGCCUGGUAGUGGGGGAUAACGUCCGGAAACGGGCGCUAAUACUGCAUACGUCCUGAUGGAGCAAGAGGGGGAUCUUCGGACCUCACGCUAGCAGAUGAGCCUAGGUGGGACUAGCUAGUUGGUGGGGUAAGGGCCUACCAAGGCGACCAUCCGCAACUGGUCUGAUAGGAUGAUCAGUCACACGGGAGGUUGGACACGGUCCAGGCUCCUGCGGGAGGGAGCAGUGGGGAAUGUGGGACAAUGGGGGAGAGCCUGAUCCAGCCAGGCCGCGUGUGUGAAGGAGGUGUUCGGAGUGUAAAGCACUCUAUGGGGGGGGGAAGGGCAGUAAGUUAAGACCUUGCUGUUUUGACGGUACCGGCAGAAGAAGCACCGGCUAACUUCGUG
rnacentral:rRNA from 1 species